rnacentral:rRNA from 1 species
UACAGAGGGUGCAAGCGUUGUUCGGAAUUACUGGGCGUAAAGCGCGUGUAGGCUGCUGCGUAAGUCGGAUGUGAAAGCCCUUGGCUUAACCAAGGAAGUGCACCCGAUACUGCGUAGCUUGAGUGUCGGAGGGGAUGGCGGAAUUCCCGGUGUAGAGGUGAAAUUCGUAGAUAUCUGGAGGAACACCGGUGGCGAAAGCGGCUCACUGGACCCGAUCUGACACUGAUGUGCGAAAGCUAGGGUAGCAAACGGG